CAGCAGUAGCCGCGGUAAUACGGAGGGAGCUAGCGUUAUUCGGAAUUACUGGGCGUAAAGCGCACGUAGGCGGCUUUGUAAGUUAGAGGUGAAAGCCUGGAGCUCAACUCCAGAAUUGCCUUUAAGACUGCAUCGCUUGAAUCCAGGAGAGGUGAGUGGAAUUCCGAAUGUAGAGGUGAAAUUCGUAGAUAUUCGGAAGAACACCAGUGGCGAAGGCGGCUCACUGGCUCGAUACUGACGCUGAGGUGCGAAAGCGUGGGGAGCAAACAGGAUUAGAUACCCCUGUAGUCCCUGUCUCUUAUAC
rnacentral:rRNA from 1 species